rnacentral:rRNA from 1 species
AUUGAACGCUGGCGGCAGGCUUAACACAUGCAAGUCGAGCGGGGUGAUGGUGCUUGCACUAUCACUUAGCGGCGGACGGGUGAGUAAUGCUUAGGAAUCUGCCUAUUAGUGGGGGACAACAUCUCGAAAGGGAUGCUAAUACCGCAUACGUCCUACGGGAGAAAGCAGGGGGUCACUUGUGACCUUGCGCUAAUAGAUGAGCCUAAGUCGGAUUAGCUAGUUGGGGGGGUAAAGGCCUACCAAGGCGACGAUCUGUAGCGGGUCUGAGAGGAUGAUCCGCCACACUGGGACUGGGACACGGCCGAGACUCCUACGGGAGGCAGCAGUGGGGAAUAUUGAACAAUGGGGGGAACCCUGAUCCAGCCAUGCCGCGUGUGUGAAGAAGGCCUUAUGGUUGUAAAGCACUUUAAGCGAGGAGGAGGCUCUUUUGGUUAAUACCCAAGAUGAGUGGACGUUACUCGCAGAAUAAGCACCGGCUAACUCUGUGCCAGCCGCCGCUGUAA